AGCCAUAUCAUUACGACGCCUCGGAAAUGGAGUGUUGGGGAGGCCGCGCAGGUUUGCGCCUUCGUCACCGGUGCGACUGACGGAGAGAACGAGGUCACCAUCCAAGUUACCGCCGAGGCCGACAGCACCGAGGUCUUGGUAUCAGGCCACAUCAUCAUUCCGCAAGGUGAAAAGGAACUGUGUAAUAGACUAUUUGUGCCUGUAACUCUGCACAAACAGGGACUGAUUAAGGUCAGCGGGACACUCGGUGGCCAGAAGGUUGAUUAUCAGAAGCCCAUAUUAUUUGCUACUGGCAUCAGGAAGACUUUUAUACAGACUGAUAAAUACAUUUAUAAACCGGGUCAAAAUGUGCAGUUUAGGAUUCUUACAGUGACAGGACCCUUCUUGAAAAUAUCAAAAGAAAGUUAUCCUCUGAUAUGGGUAGAGACACCAUCGUCAAGCCGUAUUGCCCAGUGGACCAAUGUGGAGAACUCGGCAGGACUUAUACAUCAGACAUUCAAACUUGCAGAUGAACCUGAAGAGGUAAUAAAAAG